rnacentral:misc_RNA from 1 species
UCCGGUUUGUCACCGGCAGUCUCCUAUGAGUCCCCAACUGAAUGCUGGCAACAUAGGACGGGGGUUGCGCUCGUUGCGGGACUUAACCCAACAUCUCACGACACGAGCUGACGACAGCCAUGCACCACCUGUGAAGGUGUCCCGAAGGAAAACCGUGUUUCCACGGCGGUCACCUACAUGUCAAGCCCAGGUAAGGUGGGGAUGACGUGUCGCAACUAACCA